CGUAGGUAACCUGCCUGGUAGCGGGGGAUAACUAUUGAAGAUAGCUAAUACCGCAUAAGAGUAGAUGUUGCAUGACAUUUACUUAAAAGAUGCAAUUGCAUCACUACCAGAUGGACCUGCGUUGUAUUAGCUAGUUGGUGGGGUAACGGCUCACCAAGGCGACGAUACAUAGCCGACCUGAGAGGGUGAUCGGCCACACUGGGACUGAGACACGGCCCAG
rnacentral:rRNA from 1 species